UACGGGGGGGGCAAGCGUUGUUCGGAAUUCCUGGGCGUAAAGGGCUCGUAGGCGGCCAACUAAGUCAGACGUGAAAUCCCCAGGCUCAACCUGGGAACUGCGUCUGAUACUGGAUGGCUUGAAUCCGGGAGAGGGAUGCAGAAUUCCAGGUGUAGCGGUGAAAUGCGUAGAUAUCUGGAGGAAUACCGGUGGCGAAGGCGGCAUCCUGGACCGGCAUUGACGCUGAGGAGCGAAAGCCAGGGGAGCAAACAGG
rnacentral:rRNA from 1 species